rnacentral:rRNA from 1 species
CAAACCAAAGCUGGCGACCGGCGCACGGGUGAGUAACACGUAUCCAGCCUGCCCCAUACUCGGGGAUAGCCUUUCGAAAGAAAGAUUAAUAUCCGAUAGCAUAUAUUUCCCGCAUGGGUUUUAUAUUAAAGAAAUUCGGUAUGAGAUGGGGAUGCGUUCCAUUAGUUUGUUGGGGGGUAACGGCCCACCAAGACUACGAUGGAUAGGGGUUCUGAGAGGAAGGUCCCCCACAUUGGAACUGAGACACGGUCCAA